rnacentral:rRNA from 1 species
UACGUAGGUGGCAAGCGUUGUCCGGAUUUAUUGGGUUUAAAGGGUGCGUAGGCGGCUUUGUAAGUCAGUGGUGAAAUAUGGCAGCUUAACUGUCAAGGUGCCAUUGAUACUGCAGAGCUUGAGUACAGAUGAGGUAGGCGGAAUUGACGGUGUAGCGGUGAAAUGCUCAGAUAUCGUCAAGAACACCUAUAGCGAAGGCAGCUUACUAAGCUGUAACUGACGCUGAGGCACGAAAGUGUGGGGAUCAAACAGG